UACGGAGGGUGCAAGCGUUAUCCGGAUUUACUGGGUUUAAAGGGUGCGUAGGUGGAUUGGUAAGUCAGUGGUGAAAUACUUUCGCUUAACGAAGGAACUGCCAUUGAUACUACCAGUCUUGAAUACAGUGGAGGUAGGCGGAAUGCGUCAUGUAGCGGUGAAAUGCUUAGAUAUGACGCAGAACACCAAUUGCGAAGGCAGCUUGCUACACUGUUAUUGACACUGAGGCACGAAAGCUCGGGGAGCGAACGGG
rnacentral:rRNA from 1 species